UCUGCGACUUUUCCUGCCCCUGCGCGAUUACGUAAACACCAAGCAGGCGGUUGCGACGACGACAGCUGAUGCAGGUGGCCGGGAUAGGGGAGGUCGACGCGAAUCCGAAUGCGUGAUCGGAGUGGGCAAGGUCACGCAGAAUGUGUGUGACCGACUGUCUGCUGAUUAUAUAGAUUGGCCCAUAAAACAGCGAUUUGUUUACCCAUCUGAGGUGGAUUGAUAGCCGGCGUUAGCAAUUCUAUACUAAUGGAUUCAUUUAAGCUAUGAUUGUGGCAGAUGCAGGUGUAACAACUAGAUAUACACUCAAAAUACAAUACAAUUAUUCGUUAGAA
rnacentral:sRNA from 1 species